rnacentral:lncRNA from 1 species
GGGAGGGAAGGAAAGGGAGCCUCACGCCUUAUUUUUCUUUCACAAUUCUGGCCAAAGAAAGCAGUCACUCAUAAUCAGAAGAGAAUUUAUCAUGAAGUUAAUUAAGCUGUGUACCUAAUUUUGUAUCUGUCAUCGUGUAUUCUUAAAAGAAGACUCCGACAUUGUAUAAGUUCUGGAUCUGAACAAAACCUGGAUAAACUCUGGUGCUUUAUUAACUUGAUGAAGAUUAGUGACACUGAGGAAUACUGAGGAACCAGGCUCUAUUCCACCCCAUCGCCUUCAUACACACCUCAUUCCAAAUGCUAUCCUGUCACAGCAGAUGCCACAUCACUUUUGGGGUGGGCUAAGAGAUCAAGUUGGAAUAUGGAGCUCCAGCAGGUACUUGGACCAUGAGUUAACCUUGAGGGUGGAAGACAUUCACAAUGAAACAGUAAAAUAGAAGAACCCGGAGCUCCAGAGAGCCCUAGCAACCCUAGACUGAUUACCUCUAGAUUACUUAGAGCUCAGUCUAUUGUGUCUGACUCCAAAGCCAGUGAUCACUCCAUCUCAUCCUGCUAUCCAGAGACUGCCUUUCAGGACAGACCCAGCCCAGAGCUGUGGACCCCUGACUCUGUUACCAGUGAACUCCCUAGUACAGCUAUCCCUUCCUUUG